GAUGAACGCUGGCGGCGUGCCUAAUACAUGCAAGUCGAGCGAACAGACGAGGAGCUUGCUCCUCUGACGUUAGCGGCGGACGGGUGAGUAACACGUGGAUAACCUACCUAUAAGACUGGGAUAACUUCGGGAAACCGGAGCUAAUACCGGAUAAUAUAUUGAACCGCAUGGUUCAAUAGUGAAAGACGGUUUUGCUGUCACUUAUAGAUGGAUCCGCGCCGCAUUAGCUAGUUGGUAAGGUAACGGCUUACCAAGGCAACGAUGCGUAGCCGACCUGAGAGGGUGAUAGGCAACAAUGGAACUGAGACACGGUCCAGACUCCUACGGGAGGCAGCAGUAGGGAAUCUUCCGCAAUGGGCGAAAGCCUGACGGAGCAACGCCGCGUGAGUGAUGAAGGUCUUCGGAUCGUAAAACUCUGUUAUUAGGGAAGAACAAAUGUGUAAGUAACUAUGCACGUCUUGACGGUACCUAAUCAGAAAGCCACGGCUAACUACGUG
rnacentral:rRNA from 1 species